rnacentral:rRNA from 1 species
AACUGCAGGACACAUUGAACAUCGUGAUCUUGAACGCAUAUUGCGGCCUCGGGCACUCCCGAGGCCACGCCCGUAUCAGGGUCGGUU